UGCAAGUCGAACGAACUCUGGUAUUGAUUGGUGCUUGCAUCAUGAUUUACAUUUGAGUGAGUGGCGAACUGGUGAGUAACACGUGGGAAACCUGCCCAGAAGCGGGGGAUAACACCUGGAAACAGAUGCUAAUACCGCAUAACAACUUGGACCGCAUGGUCCGAGUUUGAAAGAUGGCUUCGGCUAUCACUUUUGGAUGGUCCCGCGGCGUAUUAGCUAGAUGGUGRGGUAACGGCUCACCAUGGCAAUGAUACGUAGCCGACCUGAGAGGGUAAUCGGCCACAUUGGGACUGAGACACGGCCCAAACUCCUACGGGAGGCAGCAGUAGGGAAUCUUCCACAAUGGACGAAAGUCUGAUGGAGCAACGCCGCGUGAGUGAAGAAGGGUUUCGGCUCGUAAAACUCUGUUGUUAAAGAAGAACAUAUCUGAGAGUAACUGUUCAGGUAUUGACGGUAUUUAACCAGAAAAGCCACGGCUAACUACGUGCCAGCAGCCGCGGUAAUACGUAGGUGGCAAGCGUUGUCCGGAUUUAUUGGGCGUAAAGCGAGCGCAGGCGGUUUUUUAAGUCUGAUGUGAAAGCCUUCGGCUCAACCGAAGAAGUGCAUCGGAAACUGGGAAACUUGAGUGCAGAAGAGGACAGUGGAACUCCAUGUGUAGCGGUGAAAUGCGUAGAUAUAUGGAAGAACACCAGUGGCGAAGGCGGCUGUCUGGUCUGUAACUGACGCUGAGGCUCGAAAGUAUGGGUAGCAAACAGGAUUAGAUACCCUGGUAGUCCAUACCGUAAACGAUGAAUGCUAAGUGUUGGAGGGUUUCCGCCCUUCAGUGCUGCAGCUAACGCAUUAAGCAUUCCGCCUGGGGAGUACGGCCGCAAGGCUGAAACUCAAAGGAAUUGACGGGGGCCCGCACAAGCGGUGGAGCAUGUGGUUUAAUUCGAAGCUACGCGAAGAACCUUACCAGGUCUUGACAUACUAUGCAAAUCUAAGAGAUUAGACGUUCCCUUCGGGGACAUGGAUACAGGUGGUGCAUGGUUGUCGUCAGCUCGUGUCGUGAGAUGUUGGGUUAAGUCCCGCAACGAGCGCAACCCUUAUUAUCAGUUGCCAGCAUUAAGUUGGGCACUCUGGUGAGACUGCCGGUGACAAACCGGAGGAAGGUGGGGAUGACGUCAAAUCAUCAUGCCCCUUAUGACCUGGGCUACACACGUGCUACAAUGGAUGGUACAACGAGUUGCGAACUCGCGAGAGUAAGCUAAUCUCUUAAAGCCAUUCUCAGUUCGGAUUGUAGGCUGCAACUCGCCUACAUGAAGUCGGAAUCGCUAGUAAUCGCGGAUCAGCAUGCCGCGGUGAAUACGUUCCCGGGCCUUGUACACACCGCCCGUCACACCAUGAGAGUUUGUAACACCCAAAGUCGGUGGGGUAACC
rnacentral:rRNA from 1 species